rnacentral:rRNA from 1 species
GAUCAUGGCUCAGAUUGAACGCUGGCGGCAGGCUUAACACAUGCAAGUCGAACGGUAACAGGAGAGAGCUUGCUUUCUUGCUGACGAGUGGCGGACGGGUGAGUAAUGCUUGGGAAUCUGGCUUAUGGAGGGGGGAUAACGACGGGAAACUGUCGCUAAUACCGCGUAGAGUCGAGAGAUGAAAGUGCGGGACCGCAAGGCCGCAUGCCAUAGGAUGAGCCCAAGUGGGAUUAGG